GUGCCAGGGAUUGUUUAUCGCGAGUUGCUCUGUCGGAGCAACCAUUCCACUACUGCCACCUUUGCUCUGAGCCGUUAAUUGUAGCGAGUAUUGUUGUCAUGGCGGCUGCUCGGUUUAGUCGCUCCUCUUUAGCAUGGAUCGAGGUCCGGUUGCUGCACGUUGGUGAAUUUAAGUUGCUGUUAUGGGUGCGGACACCAUGGAGCUGUGAUUGCGAUUGUUACCAAUGUCGGGCCGAGAGGAAAAGAGUUCCGGUGACGUGUUUGGUCUAUAGUUUCGACUUAUUGAGGAACCAGAUGAAGAAGCAUUAAGAAGAGUUAUACUACGUUUGGUUUAUAUGUUGU